AAAUACAAAUUAUUUUUAUUUCAUUAGAUUUUUACACGUACUUUUGAAUCGUCAAAUGAAUCUACCUCUGGUCCGGAAUGCCUUUGCUACCGAAAAGAAC